rnacentral:rRNA from 1 species
UAAGUCUGGUGCCAGCAGCCGCGGUAAUUCCAGCUCCAAUAGCGUAUAUUAAAGUUGUUGCAGUUAAAAAGCUCGUAGUUGAACUUUGGGCUUGGUCAGCCGGUCCGCUUUUUUGCGUGUACUGGUCCUGACCGAGCCUUUCCUUCUGGCUAACCUGUCUCUCGGGGCAGGCGAACCAGGACUUUUACUUUGAAAAAAUUAGAGUGUUCAAAGCAGGCCUUUGCUCGAAUAUAUUAGCAUGGAAUAAUAGAAUAGGACGUUUGGUUCUAUUUUGUUGGUUUCUAGGACCAUCGUAAUGAUUAAUAGGAACGGUCGGGGGCAUCAGUAUUCAAUUGUCAGAGGUGAAAUUCUUGGAUUUAUUGAAGACUAACUACUGCGAAAGCAUUUGCCAAA